GAGUUCAUACAGGAUAUAAAAGACAGAUAAUUCACGUAGUAUAAUCAAAAUGCAAAAAUAGUAAAGCACAUUCAUGACCAAUUAAAAAAAUGGGUAACUCAGUCCACCCCAAAAAAAUCAGCUCAACUACCAUGAAAGGCUAGAACAUAAUAAUUCCCUAGACUUGACCCUCCCUGAUUAACAACAUUAUUAAGCAGUUGUUCCUUUAUUAAAGGUGUAGUGGCCGUGCUGCUACAUCCCUUCUUUCGCAAAGCAGAAAUCAGGUGCCUGCAUCAGACAAUGCAAGAGUGAGAUGACACAUCUCAUCAAGUAAACAAUGCAAACAACAAUUGGACAAUAUAAACCAACCGUGCUUAAACAACCACGUAGUUCAAAACUUCCUUCUUGAAUAAUAAUUUGCAGCAAGUAAGCAAGUAACUGAUUACUUAAUGCCAAGAUGAAUCACAAUGUAAAGAUCCACACUAUCCACAUCCACAUAACAGAUUCCACACCUCUCCCAUGAAUGCACAUGGCUACAGAUGCAGUAAUGACUUCUGCCUUCAUAUCUCUAAGGCUAUGAAGCUGCAUCAUACCCCUUCUCGGGCAACAUAUGAUGCUCAUUGUACCGGUAUGGUCGGACCAUAAGAUCGCGACGAAACUUCAAUGCAAUGGAUGAUGAAUGCAUUAUGCAAGUCAACAACAUGAGUUCUUCCCAAACAAAAUGUGCUAGACACAUACUUCCACCCAUUCCACAUAAUAAACCACAUGGGUAACAUGAUCAAACCAGAAACUCAACAUAUGUAAUCAAUAAAAUAUGAAUAUCUUCCAACGAUGGUACUCAAUUAGAAAUAUGAAUACGAACACAAAUAGCACAAACAUAAUCAAGUAUAAGACUCUUCAUUCGACAGACGGAAUAACCAUCACUGUUUUACUUGCCUUCACCGGAAGUUUGGGCAAAUCCCUAAGUACGAUCCGGAAGUCUACCACCUGUUUUUGACACACAACUUAGUGCACCAAUUUCACAUAAUAAGCCUCAUAAACGACGCCGCACCUACGCACAAUCUCAAACCCCGCCACGGGUAACAAUUCUCCCCGCACCAACCAAACUACAGCGACACUGCUUAAUAAUUUCAUAACUUUAAAAUUAUGACAGCAGUGGUGACAACCAAAAACUCCAGAGGCAUCUACAUAAAAUUCCCCACAAGUUUUGUAUACAAUUUAUAAUAAAAUUCCAAAAUGUAAUUAGCCCAAAACAGUCCUCAAGAUAAACCCUGUAAUCUGUUUUUUUCUCUUUUGGACAGCGACAUACCCGGAUUCAAACAGCGAUAUAUUUUAAGAUAUAAUUCCAAAUCAAGCGCAUAAGUACUCAUUGGAAAGAUAAGACAAAGCCCUACAUGAUUAUCAUACUGGUUAUCACUAAUUACCCACAAAAAAUUCACAGAAACUGCUAAUACUACUGCUGUUCACCCACCUGAAAAAUCUGUUUUUUGGACAGCAACAUAUCCGGAUUCAAACAAUGAUAUCUCCUAAAUUAUAACUCCGAAUCGAGCGCAUAAGUACUCGUUGGAAAGGUAUGACAAAGCUCUAUAUGAUUAUCCCACUGAUUUCCACUAAUUAACCCACGAAAAUUCCCAGAAAUCCCUAGAACUACUGCUGUCCACCCACUCACAAAAUUCCUGGACAGCACCUCUACCGAUUCGCAAAGAUAAACGCAUAAUCCAAUUGAUUGCAGCACAAAAACAAUAAAAGUUAAACAUGAAUUCACCUUGGGUUCUUCCCUUCCUCCUUCCUUCUUCCUCCCUCCAAACUCCAAUUGAGAUCGCAGCCACACGACGGAGAACACGCGGGAGGGCUGCACCUUGGAGGGGGGGAAGAGAAAUGGG
rnacentral:lncRNA from 1 species